CGGGGUGUAGCGCAGUUGGUAGCGUACAACGUUCGGGACGUUGGGGUCGCCAGUUCGAGUCUGGCCACUCCGACCA
rnacentral:tRNA from 1 species